AUGAACGCUGGCGGCGUGCCUAAUACAUGCAAGUCGAGCGAACAGACGAGGAGCUUGCUCCUCUGACGUUAGCGGCGGACGGGUGAGUAACACGUGGAUAACCUACCUAUAAGACUGGGAUAACUUCGGGAAACCGGAGCUAAUACCGGAUAACAUGUUGAACCGCAUGGUUUAACAGUGAAAGACGGUCUUGCUGUCACUUAUAGAUGGAUCCGCGCCGCAUUAGCUAGUUGGUAAGGUAACGGCUUACCAAGGCAACGAUGCGUAGCCGACCUGAGAGGGUGAUCGGCCACACUGGAACUGAGACACGGUCCAGACUCCUACGGGAGGCAGCAGUAGGGAAUCUUCCGCAAUGGGCGAAAGCCUGACGGAGCAACGCCGCGUGAGUGAAGAAGGUCUUCGGAUCGUAAAACUCUGCUAUUAGGGAAGAACAAAUGUGUAAGUAACUAUGCACGUCUUGACGGUACCUAAUCAGAAAGCCACGGCUAACUACGUG
rnacentral:rRNA from 1 species